rnacentral:tRNA from 3 species
GGUGGGAUGGCGGAGUGGACCAACGCGCCUGCCUUGAAAGCAGGUGGCCGAGAGGCCUCCUGGGUUCGAAUCCCAGUCCCACCG